rnacentral:rRNA from 1 species
CCGGAUUUACUGGGCGGAAAGAGCGCGCAGGCGGCUGGGCAAGUCCGAUGUGAAAGCUUCCGGCUUAACUGGAAAAUUGCAUCGGAAACUGCUCGGCUUGAAGGUGGGAGAGGGUAGCGGAAUUCCCGGUGUAGUGGUGAAAUGCGUAGAUAUCGGGAGGAACACCAGUGGCGAAGGCGGCUACCUGGCCCACUCUUGACGCUGAGGCGCGAAAGCGUGGGGAGCGAACAGG